ACAUGCAGUCGAACGGCAGCGCGGGGCAACCUGGCGGCGAGUGGCGAACGGGUGAGUAAUAUAUCGGAACGUACCCAAGAGUGGGGGAUAACGUAGCGAAAGUUACGCUAAUACCGCAUACGAUCUAAGGAUGAAAGCAGGGGAUCUUCGGACCUUGUGCUCCUGGAGCGGCCGAUAUCUGAUUAGCUAGUUGGUGAGGUAAAGGCUCACCAAGGCCACGAUCAGUAGCUGGUCUGAGAGGACGACCAGCCACACUGGAACUGAGACACGGUCCAGACUCCUACGGGAGGCAGCAGUGGGGAAUUUUGGACAAUGGGCGAAAGCCUGAUCCAGCAAUGCCGCGUGAGUGAAGAAGGCCUUCGGGUUGUAAAGCUCUUUUGUCAGGGAAGAAACGGUGAGGGCUAAUAUCCCUCGCUAAUGACGGUACCUGAAGAAUAAGCACCGGCUAACUACGUGCCAGCAGCCGCGGUAAUACGUAGGGUGCAAGCGUUAAUCGGAAUUACUGGGCGUAAAGCGUGCGCAGGCGGUUUUGUAAGUCUGACGUGAAAUCCCCGGGCUCAACCUGGGAAUUGCGUUGGAGACUGCAAGGCUAGAAUCUGGCAGAGGGGGGUAGAAUUCCACGUGUAGCAGUGAAAUGCGUAGAGAUGUGGAGGAACACCGAUGGCGAAGGCAGCCCCCUGGGUCAAGAUUGACGCUCAUGCACGAAAGCGUGGGGGAGCAAACAGGAUUAGAUACCCUGGUAGUCCACGCCCUA
rnacentral:rRNA from 1 species